GAAAGCCGAGUGGUUAAGGUGGCAGUCUUAAGAACUGCUGUCGCAAGACGCGCGGGUUCGAACCCCGCUUUCUCCA
rnacentral:tRNA from 1 species